UCUGGUCGAUCAAGAAUGAGCAGGGGCGACACCCCACUCUCAAACCCUAGAAAAGUUCACUAAAACUCUCAAUUGGAGGUGCAAAUCUGGUCCAAAACGAAAGUCGAGCAUAGAUUAUUAAUCCUCAUCACAAGAGGAUUACAAGUUUGACGCGUAACAAGCUAGGUGGAAGCUUGAUGAGGGAGCGGAUCAAACAAAUCAAGAAGGAAAGGAAAAGCAUAGUUCGAAUGCGAAAAAUAAAUAUCGAGUGGAUAUUUACAUCGCUAUUACUUAGUAGAUAUUGAGGCAAGGUACUUAAAUGGGUCAAUGUAAUGAUCCGAGCCAGGUACUUUUGGAUGCCGGAAGACGAUCAAGCUCAGCGAAGAACCGAACACGAUAAAGAUACACGCUUCCGCACUUUGCCACGUUGUAAAUUUUAAACAACGAAUUCGAUCACGUUAUGUAGAAUAACUUAUGAUUUGUAAAACUUUUAGUAAACCCGUAUUUCUGAUGUAUAUGUAAUCGUGAUUACAUGAUAGUUUUCGUAAAAGAUUCAUUAAACCUUAAA